CGGAAUCAGAAUGGGCCAUUCAGAUUCUCAUUCUUUGGUUGACGAGCCCAUUCUAGGCGGAAUGGGAUUCCCCCAUAUUGGGGAAUGGCCAUUCCCGACUCUCCCCAUGGAAUGCGAUUCCCAUUCCAGUCUUUAUGUUUUAUUUAUUUAUUUUUUUACAAAAAACACCCCCUUCGUUUCAACCCCUAAUCGACCAUAUGAGGAACUUCUUCUGCACUUCAACUUCAACCUUCAUAUUAACCAUUGCUGUCUUUGCCGCCAAUCUCAUCUCCGACGAGAUUUGCCCUACUCUGUUCGUUUUACAAUCCGCCUCUUGUUUUGCUUUCAGGUAUAUUUCAUGGAGUCGGUGAUUCACAAAGAAAUGUUCCUUGUUAUUUAUUAGAUCCUUUUUCAUUCUGCCCUUCCUUGAGACAAGGGAAAACAUGAGAUUUAUGUUUACAUGAAAGGUCAACCUGCAGGCCGGAAUCAAUAAAAUUGCUCUCCUCAGUGUUUGGCUGUUGGCAAGGGUAUAAUGGCUCAGUGUUUGACUGUAUAAUGAUUUCUUUGAGUUGAAUUGUCUCAGCUACCAACACAGAUUCUGGUUAUCAUUCAUUUUUUCAUAUUUUCUCU